rnacentral:rRNA from 1 species
GAUGAACGCUGGCGGCGUGCCUAAUACAUGCAAGUCGAGCGAACAGAUGAGGAGCUUGCUCCUCUGACGUUAGCGGCGGACGGGUGAGUAACACGUGGAUAACCUACCUAUAAGACUGGGAUAACUUCGGGAAACCGGAGCUAAUACCGGAUAAUAUAUUGAACCGCAUGGUUCAAUAGUGAAAGACGGUUUUGCUGUCACUUAUAGAUGGAUCCGCGCCGCAUUAGCUAGUUGGUAAGGUAACGGCUUACCAAGGCAACGAUGCGUAGCCGACCUGAGAGGGUGAUCGGCCACACUGGAACUGAGACACGGUCCAGACUCCUACGGGAGGCAGCAGUAGGGAAUCUUCCGCAAUGGGCGAAAGCCCGACGGAGCAACGCCGCGUGAGUGAUGAAGGUCUUCGGAUCGUAAAACUCUGUUAUUGGGGAAGAACAAAUGUGUAAGUAACUAUGCACGUCUUGACGGUACCUAAUCAGAAAGCCACGGCUAACUACGUG